rnacentral:rRNA from 1 species
AGUGAACGCUGGCGGUAGGCCUAACACAUGCAAGUCGAACGGCAGCACAGGAGAGCUUGCUCUCUGGGUGGCGAGUGGCGGACGGGUGAGGAAUACAUCGGAAUCUACUCUGUCGUGGGGGAUAACGUAGGGAAACUUACGCUAAUACCGCAUACGACCUACGGGUGAAAGCAGGGGACCUUCGGGCCUUGCGCGAUUGAAUGAGCCGAUGUCGGAUUAGCUAGUUGGCGGUGUAAAGGCCCACCAAGGCGACGAUCCGUAGCUGGUCUGAGAGGAUGAUCGGCCACACUGGAACUGAGACACGGUCCAGACUCCUACGGGAGGCAGCAGUGGGGAAUAUUGGACAAUGGGCGCAAGCCUGAUCCAGCCAUACCGCGUGGGUGAAGAAGGCCUUCGGGUUGUAAAGCCCUUUUGUUGGGAAAGAAAUCCAGCUGGCUAAUACCCGGUUGGGAUGACGGUACCCAUAGAAUAAGCACCGGCUAACUUCGUGCCAGCAGCCGCGGUAA